rnacentral:rRNA from 1 species
AUGCAAGUCGAGGGGCAGCAUAAAUUACUUGUAAUUUGAUGGCGACCGGCGAACGGGUGCGUAACGCGUAUGCAACUUACCUUUUACUAGAGAAUAGCCAAGAGAAAUUUUGAUUAAUGCUCUAUGUUCUCAUUUACUCGCAUGAGUAAAUAAGCAAAGCUCCGGCGGUAAAAGAUGGGCAUGCGUCCUAUUAGCUUGUAGGUGAGGUAAUGGCUCACCUAAGCUCCGAUAGGUAGGGGUCCUGAGAGGGAGAUCCCCCACACUGGUACUGAGACACGGACCAGACUUCUACGGAAGGCAGCAGUAAGGAAUAUUGGACAAUGGAGGCAACUCUGAUCCAGCCAUGCCGCGUGAAGGAAGACGGCCUUAUGGGUUGUAAACUUCUUUUAUACAGGAAGAAACCUUUCCACGUGUGGAAAGCUGACGGUACUGUAAGAAUAAGGAUCGGCUAACUCCGUGCCAGCAGCCGCGGUAAUACGGAGGAUCCAAGCGUUAUCCGGAAUUAUUGGGUUUAAAGGGUCCGCAGGCUGUUUGUUAAGUCAGAGGUGAAAUCCUACCGCUCAACGGUAGAACUGCCUUUGAUACUGGCAAACUUGAGUUAUUGUGAAGUAGUUAGAAUGUGUAGUGUAGCGGUGAAAUGCAUAGAUAUUACACAGAAUACCGAUUGCGAAAGCAGAUUACUAACAAUAUACUGACGCUGAGGGACGAAAGCGUGGGUAGCGAACAGGAUUAGAUACCCUGGUAGUCCACGCCGUAAACGAUGGUCACUAGCUGUUCGAUGUACAUUGGUACAUUGAGUGGCUAAGCGAAAGUGAUAAGUGACCCACCUGGGGAGUACGCUCGCAAGAGUGAUACUCAAAGGAAUUGACGGGGGCCCGCACAAGCGGUGGAGCAUGUGGUUUAAUUCGAUGAUACGCGAGGAACCUUACCAGGACUUAAAUGUAAGUUGCAUGAUUCAGAAAUGAAUCUUUCUUCGGACUACUACA